rnacentral:tRNA from 1 species
AAGAUAUUAGUAAAGUCAAUUACAUAACUUUGUCAAAGUUAAAUCAUAAGCUAAACACUUAUAUAUCUUU